GUGGGGAAUAUUGGACAAUGGGCGAAAGCCUGAUCCAGCCAUGCCGCGUGUGUGAAGAAGGUCUUCGGAUUGUAAAGCACUUUAAGUUGGGAGGAAGGGCAGUAAGUUAAUACCUUGCUGUUUUGACGUUACCGACAGAAUAAGCACCGGCUAACUUCGUGCCAGCAGCCGCGGUAAUACGAAGGGUGCAAGCGUUAAUCGGAAUUACUGGGCGUAAAGCGCGCGUAGGUGGUUUUGUAAGUUGGAGGUGAAAUCCCCGGGCGCAACCUGGGAACUGCCUCCAAAACUGCAUGACUAGAGUACGGUAGAGGGUAGUGGAAUUUCCGGUGUAGCGGUGAAAUGCGUAGAUAUAGGAAGGAACACCAGUGGCGAAGGCGACUACCUGGACUGAUACUGACACUGAGGUGCGAAAGCGUGGGGAGCAAACAGGAUUAGAAACCCUGGUAGUCC
rnacentral:rRNA from 1 species